GAGUUUGAUCAUGGCUCAGAUUGAACGCUGGCGGCAGGCCUAACACAUGCAAGUCGAGCGGAUGAGAGGAGCUUGCUCCUUGAUUCAGCGGCGGACGGGUGAGUAAUGCCUAGGAAUCUGCCUGAUAGUGGGGGACAACGUUUCGAAAGGAACGCUAAUACCGCAUACGUCCUACGGGAGAAAGCAGGGGACCUUCGGGCCUUGCGCUAUCAGAUGAGCCUAGGUCGGAUUAGCUAGUAGGUGAGGUAAUGGCUCACCUAGGCGACGAUCCGUAACUGGUCUGAGAGGAUGAUCAGCCACACUGGAACUGAGACACGGUCCAGACUCCUACGGGAGGCAGCAGUGGGGAAUAUUGGACAAUGGGCGAAAGCCUGAUCCAGCCAUGCCGCGUGUGUGAAGAAGGUCUUCGGAUUGUAAAGCACUUUAAGUUGGAGGAAGGGCUGCAAGUUAAUACCUUGUAGUUUUGACGUUACCAACAGAAUAAGCACCGGCUAACUUCGUGCC
rnacentral:rRNA from 1 species